rnacentral:rRNA from 1 species
AGAUUGAACGCUGGCGGCAGGCCUAACACAUGCAAGUCGAACGGACCCUUCGGGGUUAGUGGCGGACGGGGUGAGUAACACGUGGGAACGUGCCUUUUUGGUUCGGAAUAGCUCCUGGAAACGGGUGGUAAUGCCGAAUGUGUCCUUCGGGGGAAAGAUUUAUUCGCCAUUAGAGCGGCCCGCGUCUGAUUAGCUAGUUGGUGAGGUAAUGGCUCACCAAGGCGACGACCAGUAGCUGGUCUGAGAGGAUGACCAGCCACAUUGGGACUGAGACACGGCCCAAACUCCUACGGGAGGCAGCAGGUGGGGAAUCUUGCGCAAGUGGGCGAAAGGCCCUGACGCAGCCAUGCCGCGUGAAUGA